GCACCCAAUCAUCGGUGUCUCGCGGCUCUCGCCCCACCCCAGCCACCAAACGAGGAACCCUAGCCUCCUUUCUCCUUCCCCUCGACCCCCACGAGCCGCUGCACCCCUCCCUCUCCCUUCCGUGCGUGCGCUCGGCCAAGGACGCUGCCGUCGCCCUCGGCUCCUCCUCCACCACCUCGCCUUUUUCUCCUCCUCGCCUUCCCAUCGCUCGCGCGCAUGUCGCUGCCGUCGGAAAACAGGACUGCGGGUCGCUUCCUCCUUUUCCUCCCGUCGGAUCUAAGGCGUGCGGCCGUGGACGCGAGCCUCUCCGGUGGCGGCGGCAAAGGGUGACCACAUGGAUCGGUCCCUGCAGGAGAGAGAAGAUGGGAGAGAGGGAGAGAAGGAAGGAGAGGAGGGAGGCCCGGCGGCGGACGGGAGAGGGUCACCGACCGGCGCCGGCGAGGUCAGGUGCGACCUGGUGGUUGGUGGCGGCUCGAUCCACUCCUGGAUCCUUCUUCUUCCACUUCCCCGCUGCCUAACACCGAGGAAGAGGGCUGGCCGAGGAAGAGGGCGAGGAUGCAGGGAUUGAAGAGGGUGUUCCUGCGUUCAUCGCCUGGCCAAGGACGAGGACGACGACGUGGGGUGGAGCAUGUCAUCCCUCUGGUUAUCACCUUCCUUACUGCUACUGGGCUGAGAUGAGGGUUUUCUCCACCGAUUGUGGUGGCCUGAGUCAGAGAUCGACAGCCACAUGCUUGUGGCUACCACACAAAACGUGCUCUCUUGCUGACCUCGAGGUCCAGACGCAAUGGAUUGUCUCCAAGGUGUUUCUCUGACCAGCAACAACAAAACUCCGCACUUUCUCAAUUGCGAUGUGAUUGGUUCAUGUCCACCAAGGCCGUUGCGUUGGUCGUGGUACUCGGCUUCCUUUGGGUUUGCUUGCUGUCGAGGAAGAAGAAAGGUGUGAACUAUGUGAAAAUGGACAAACCCACUGUCGCAGAUGGUAAUGAAAAAACUGACACCAACUAGCUCACUCUAUAAAUUUUGUCUAGGCUCAAGCUAACUACGUAUCUGCACCAUGAUUGCUCGCUGGUGAUAUAGAUGUAUGCCUAACAUCAGGUUAUUACCACACCAUAGUAGCUGCUCGCUGGGAAUAUAGAUAUAUAUUUCAUUUUGCAGGUUUGAAACAAGCUGGUUCCUUUAUAUGAAAUUGUUUAUUCAUGAUUUGUUAAUGUAGAAAUCAUUUCAUUAAUUAGUUUUGUAUGGUCCGUGUGAUUCAUGCUGCAAUGAUUUUCUUCAGUCGGUUAAUCGUGUAGUACUAUGGCAGUGAUAUACUGAUAUCGUGUAGUAAUCGAUGCUCUGUUCAUGGCUUUUUUCUUAUUUUAUCCUUCUUUGCUUUUUUCCUUUCCUGCAAGAAGAUGUCGAGUCAUGUAAUAUGUUCAAAGAAGAGAGAAUCUGCAUUUUAUGAAUCCUUUCUUCUUUCUUCAUUGUUACUUCAAGUUAGUGAAUUCAUUUAAGUUGUAUUGAGCAGCUUCAUGUGCAUGGUUUCUUCAUCUACACAUCUUAUUCAGUCACGAGGCCAGUAAGAUCUUUUGCCUUUUAGAAAAAGGGAGAUGCCAUUUAGACCUUACUCUUCCAACUUGAUCUUUAACUUGCUACUACUGUUUCUAAGCAUUUUCCCAAGCAUUUUUUAUUUGCUUCAGAGAAUGAGCUCACCUUAUUCAGUGGAUGUGCCAAGUAAAAAAAUUAGAAACUGAACAAUUAGUUCCACUCUUAAAUUUUGUACAACGGUCCAAAUUAUCCAAUAAAUCAUUUGUUAGCAGGGUCUAAUUAUAGAAGUUGAAUCAGUUGUUCCAAAUUACAAUGUGUGACUUAUUCCAUUUGUUUAUCCUUUUGUCCUUUUAAUCAAGAACAAUGUUUAGAGCUUACAUGGUUGUCCAAAUUUAGUUCUGUAAAAGAGGAAUAUUGAUAUCA